rnacentral:rRNA from 1 species
UAUGUAGGGUGCAAGCGUUAAUCGGAAUUACUGGGCGUAAAGCGUGCGCAGGCGGUUAUGUAAGACAGUUGUGAAAUCCCCGGGCUCAACCUGGGAACUGCAUCUGUGACUGCAUAGCUAGAGUACGGUAGAGGGGAUGGAAUCCGCGUGUAGCAGUGAAAUGCGUAGAUAUGCGGAGGAACACCGAUGGCGAAGGCAAUCCCCUGGACCUGUACUGACGCUCAUGCACGAAAGCGUGGGAAGCAAACAGG